UUGCCCCUGUACUGGGCUCCUUUUUCAUGAUGAAACCGUCCCUGAAAGUGUUCAACUCCCUUCAAGGACUGAUGAUGCAAAGCCAAUGACCUCUUUAACGCUUCAUCCUUGCACCCUGACUUCUGCUCAGCAGUCUGAAGCAGCCCAGAGGACCUGAACCAGACGACUCGUUGAGGAAACCAGACAGUAGGCACUUUGGAGGCAGCAACCUAUCCUUUUAGCUUUGUAUUCCUUGCACAUGUGUCCCACGAAUGAAUGAUCAUAAUCACAGAAGACGGAAACUCAAGAAAUCUUCCAUAUAGCCCCUGCCCUUGGGGUCAAUGAGUGGGAUGUGCCAAAAACAGGACCUCGUAUGUCAGAUCCAGUGACUGGCCCAAGAGAUGGAUGUGUGACCGAGUUCAUCCAUCAGUGUCCAUCUCCGGAAAAGUUCAAAGUGGCCCAGAGAGAGAUCCCGUUCUUCUUCAGUCCCAUAGCUAGAAGAACCAGGUACGGUGGUGAUCCUCAAGCAUGGAAGUGCUUCUCACAGUAGAAGAGAAUAAAGGCUGUCUUCAAAGAGAGGAUACGGAUGAAGAAUGACAGCCGAGACCUUGACUCAGUUGUCCCUACCUGGCUCUAUGGCUGUCCUUCCUAAAGAUAGGUUAGUAAUCAAAUAUUGAAUUUUACAAAUAAAUUCCCCUUUUUUACUUUUUAGGUGAAUCAAGUUGGGUUUUUGUCAUUUACAAAAUCCCAACUUAAAUCUUUGCUUUUCACUCCGUGCUCCUCCUUCUCCUGAACACAUAGGAAAGCAUUUAACCAGUUGCCAAAUCAUGUG